rnacentral:rRNA from 1 species
ACCUCGGGAAUUGAGAAUAAUACUCCAUAGACCAUGGGAUCUGGAAUGACCCAUGGUUAAAAGUUCCGGCGCUUAAGGAUCGGUCUGCGGCCUAUCAGGUUGUAGUGGGUGUAACGUACCUACUAGCCUAUGACGGGUAUGGGCCUUGAGAGAGGGAGCCCAGAGUUGGAUUCUGAGACACGAAUCCAGGCCCUACGGGGCGCAGCAGUCGCGAAAACUUCACAAUGGGGGCAACCCCGAUGAGGGAAUUCCUAGUGCUAACACAUUUGUGUUAGCUUUUCUUUAGCGUAGAAAACUAGAGGAAUAAGGGCCGGGUAAGACGGGUGCCAGCCGCCGCGGUAAUACCUGCAGCCUAAGUGGUGGUCGAUUUUAUUGAGUCUAAAACGUUCGUAGCCGGUUUGGUAAAUCCUUGGGUAAAUCGAGGCGCUUAACGUUCCGAAUUCCGAGGAGACUGCCAAACUUGGGACCGGGAGAGGCAAGAGGUACUUUUGGGGUAGGGGUAAAAUCCUGUAAUCCUAAAAGGACCACCGGUGGCGAAGGCGUCUUGCUAGAACGGAUCCGACGGUGAGGGACGAAGCCCUGGGUCGCAAACGGGAUUAGAUACCCCGGUAGUCCAGGGUGUAAACGCUGCAGACUUGGUGUUGGGGGCCCUACGGGGGCGUUCAGUGCCGGAGAGAAGUUGUUAAGUCUGCUACUUGGGGAGUACGUCCGCAAGGAUGAAACUUAAAGGAAUUGGCGGGGGAGCAC